rnacentral:tRNA from 1 species
ACUCAUAUUCAGCUCAGUUGGUAGAGCGCGUCACUAGUAAUGACGAGGUCGCCGGUUCGACUCCGUCUGGGAGCA